ACACCUGGUGGCCCAGGUCGAGGGUGACGGUCUGCGGGAACGCCCCGUUGAGGCUCUCGAAGUACGUCGCCGGGUCGCCGUCGACCAGGUUCG
rnacentral:tRNA from 1 species